UCUCUAUGAAAGACUUCAUGGCUAGUGUGACUGUUAAACAGAAAAGAAAACUCUUCCGAUAUCUGUUGUUAGCUUCUCGAAGGAAAGGAUUCAUGUUACCAUAAUUACAAAGGCGCUACAGUUUCCGGUGUGCACGCAAAGGUAUACACAACAAGCUCCGGAAUUGUAACCGGAUUCCCUUUCGCUUGUUUAAUAUAUACUAGUGGAUGUUGCAUCAACCCAGAAAAACGAACGAACCUGUACAGAGGUUAUUUCUGCGGGAGGGCUGCCCUCCCCCCAUGUGAACUAGAUUACCCGAAUUAUGAUAAGAAGGGAUCAUCUUUAGUUUUCAAUGCUUCCAUACGUUUCUGUUCGGCAAUUUGUUGCUCUACAACGGCACUGUUGGAUCGGUGAUGGAAUACAAAUGAAAUGCAUUUGGUGAUGUCCCAGCACUUAAAAAUGAUAUCAUCUGGAAUGCCUUUAUUGUUGGAACAGUGAUACCAGUGCAUUAAAUCGGAUGUGCAAUCACUGUCCUCAGGGGGAAGUUUAACUUGAACGUUGUUAAGACACCGUUUACAUUUAAAACUGUAACAAAAGAAUCAUCAAUUAUAAUAAAAAAUAAGUAAGUCUAACGUUCUACA